rnacentral:rRNA from 1 species
UACAGAGGGGGCAAGCGUUGUUCGGAAUUACUGGGCGUAAAGGGCGCGUAGGCGGCCUUCUAAGUCGAACGUGAAACCCCUGGGCUCAACCCAGGAACUGCGUCCGAUACUGGGAGGCUUGAAUCCGGGAGAGGGAUGUGGAAUUCCAGGUGUAGCGGUGAAAUGCGUAGAUAUCAGGAGGAACACCGAUAGCGAAGGCAGCUCGCUGGGACGGUACUGACGCUGAGGCGCGAAAGCGUGGGGAGCGAACAGG